rnacentral:rRNA from 1 species
GUAGUCUCGCACAGAUGCAUAUCAAUAAGCGGAGGAAAAGAAACUAACAAGGAUUCCCCUAGUAACGGCGAGUGAAGCGGGAAGAGCUCAAAUUUGAAAUCUUAAAGGGUUUCCCUUUACGAAUUGUAGUUUAAAGAAGUGUUUUCUGUUGAGGUUUUGGUAAAAGUUCUUUGGAAUAGGACACCAUAGAGGGUGAGAAUCCCGUAUUUGACCUUUACUUUCAACUUUGUGAUACACUUUCAAAGAGUCGGAUUGUUUGGGAAUGCAGUCCAAAAUGGGUGGUAAAUUUCAUCUAAAGCUAAAUAUUGGCGAGAGACCGAUAGCGAACAAGUACCGUGAGGGAAAGAUGAAAAGAACUUUGAAAAGAGAGUUAAACAGUACGUGAAAUUGUCAAAAGGGAAGCGUUUGACACCAGUGUUGUUUUUCUGAAAAUCAAUUAAAGAACUGUUUAUGCUAAGCUGUUUAGACUUUAUCAGCUAUCUGUUUAGUUUUGAGCUUUUCUUUAAUGCACUUUUCAGUUAACAAGUCAACAUCAAUUUCUUUUGCUGUAAAAAAGCUUGAGGAAGGUGGCUUGAGAUUCGUCUUAAGUGUUUAUAGCCUCUUGCCUAUGCAGUCGGAGAGAUUGAGGUCUGCAGCGUAGAUCCUUCGGGGCUAAAUGCAUUUGUGCUAAGUUAUAGCAUUUUCAUAGACAACUUGUUGACUAUGAUUUGUCUUGUAGCUUACUCGCUUAUGUUAUUUUACCUACGCUUAGGAUGUUGAGCGCAUGUCUCUCUCU